CUGGAUGUAAUGUCAGUGGUAGACGGCUCGCUUCGGAAGUGAGAGGUCGCAGGUUCAAAUCCUGUCAUCCAGACCA
rnacentral:tRNA from 1 species